AUCAUUUUUCUUAUUGUUAUUGCAGAUUAAUUAAUUGGGAGGAGACUGUUCUUUGCACACAGGAUGUGGUCAGACUCGUAGAAAUACAUUUGAUUUACAGAUAAGUUGUUUCUAAUCCUAAAAGCCUAGGUUUAGCUAUCAUAUGAAUUAUUAUAUGCAUAAAGUUAACUGUAAUCAGUGUAGUUAAGUGUUUAGUUUCGGGAAAUACCUUUGUUUUGAUGACCAUGCUUCCUCUUUGCUCCAAUUCCCAAUGGUGCAUGAAGAUGUGAUCUUCCUCAUGGUUUGUGGUUUUGGUAGGAUGAGUUCUUUGUCUUAAGAAGAAUCAGAAGAAUAGUGGUAAAUUCAAUAAUGUUGUGAAGGUUGUCUUAUUUAUUGAGUCAUUUCUUUGGCUUGUCUUGAAAAAAACAUCUAAUUGACUUAAUUAUUCAUGUUUUCAAGCCCAUAGAGAAGCUGAAAAGUUUAUGUGUGCUGUUAACCUUUCCCAUUAUUUAACCACAAAAUAUCUUGUGGUUAAUCAUAAAUAGUUGACACCUAGCAUAGAUUGUAAUAUAUACAUUUUUCUGAUUAAUAUGUUUUUAUAUAUUUUGGGAGUGAACAUUCUGGUAUACCUUAAAUCUAUGGGCCACAUACUUUGCCUAACAAAUCUGUUUGAUAUUACAGGAACAACUAUAACGUACAGGAAAGCUCUAUUAGUGAAAAUUUGUGUAUUUCAAAAUUGGAAGUUCAACACUGAUAGAAUUAUGUUAAUGUGAACUCAUUGACAUCAUAUUACAUUGUAUCCAUAGUGGUAGACAAAGCAGUAUACACACUUGGAAACAUAUACUCAGAGGAUUCAGACAAACUGUCUUACCAGAUGGAAAACUACAUGCUUGUAGUGUUUUAAGAGGCAAUUAAGCUUUUUCUGUCAGGUAUGUCCUAUGCUUGUGUUCAUUGGAGAAAUCCGAGUGGCAAGAAUGAGCAUUGUUCUUCAGUAUACGCAGUGCUUUAAUCUUGGCAAAGUUUGUAUUGAAUAUUGAGACUUGUUAGUGUUUGUAUUGAAGAGAAUGUGAUGUAUAUAUAGGACUUUAGAUUUGAUUUAUGCCCUUUCGUUUACUAACAAAAGGUUUCAAACGAUUAGUUGCAAUUAAUUAUCUUAGAAAAAAGA